rnacentral:rRNA from 1 species
GAUGAACGCUGGCGGCGUGCCUAAUACAUGCAAGUCGAGCGAACAGACGAGGAGCUUGCUCCUCUGACGUUAACGGCGGACGGGUGAGUAACACGUGGAUAACCUACCUAUAAGACUUGGGUAACUUCGGGAAAACGGAGCUAAUACCGGGUAAUAUAUUGAACCGCAUGGUUUAAUAGUGAAAGACGGGUUUGCUGUCCCUUUUUGAUGGAUCCGCGCCGCAUUAGCUAGUUGGUAAGGUAACGGCUUACCAAGGCAACGAUGCGUAGCCGACCUGAGAGGGUGAUCGGCCACACUGGAACUGAGACACGGUCCAGACUCCUACGGGAGGCAGCAGUAGGGAAUCUUCCGCAAUGGGCGAAAGCCUGACGGAGCAACGCCGCGUGAGUGAUGAAGGUCUUCGGAUCGUAAAACUCUGUUAUUAGGGAAGAACAAAUGUGUAAGUAACUAUGCACGUCUUGACGGUACCUAAUCAGAAAGCCACGGCUAACUACGUG